rnacentral:rRNA from 1 species
GGAAACCGCCCGUGAUAAGCCGGAGGAAGGUGGGGAUGACRUCAAGUCCUCAUGGSCCUUACGCGCUGGGSUACACACRUGCUACAAUGGSGGUGACAGUGGGCAGCAMUCUCGCAAGGGKGAGCUAAUCUCCAAAAGCCGUCUCAGUUCGGAUUGUUCUCUGCAACUCSAGAGCAUGAAGGCGGAAUCGCUAGUAAUCGCGGAUCAGCAUGCCGCGGUGAAUACKUUCCCAGGCCUUGU